AAUCGAUAUAGAACUUCUUACGUAUGGUUCUCGCGGCGGGUGUUCCCCAAUUGGUACAUAGUAAAAAAAUGAAAUAAACGUAUAUAAAAACUCGAAUGGAUUUUUUAUGAAUGGCAACUACUUGUAAAACCUCAUUCACAUAAAUUGUGAAAUCCUGCCAGUUAUCAGUUAGCAUGUAAAUCAUUACAUUAAAAUUCUAUUCGAUUUACCUACACUGAAAUGAGUAAACUACAAACAGGCUUCAUGAAGUUGAAAAGAUCGGAUGAUAUGAUAGCACUUGCAGUGAAAAUAAGGAAAUCAAAACAAUGAGUACUAACCGAAAACUAGCUUCUAAAUCCGCAUAUAUGAGAUGAUAAAUGGCAAAAAUACAGCAACAUUUACAAAUGUGUUUCAAAAAAUAUAUUCGUAGCUGCUGUCAUCUCGUUUGUUAUAUAAAGCAUAUUCCUUAAAAGCUCAUCAACAGACGCAUCGUAUACGUAUAUAUAAGGAGCAUAACAAAACGUUUUAAAAUAAUUAUAUAAGACAACACAUCCUUCAAUACAAGCUUCGAAAUCAUCAACUACGUCCACUGCAAUAAAAUGGUUGGCACACAAGAGAAGCGAAGCACGAACUCUCACACCGAAAGUAAUCUCUCUCACACAUUCAACGAUGUGACUGCGGUAGCUAAGAUCAUCACAAAUACUGUUGGUAGUGCAAUUGCUAAUACAACCAUUGCAAAUAAUGUUACGGGCAAUUCGACAAAGAAAGUUGUCAAUCAUAAUAAUGAUGCGACAACGGACAUAUCGCAUUUAAGAAAAAAACUCUCUUAUUCAGAUAGUACUGUAACCGUGAUAAAGAACCACAACGAAAACGUCAUUUCGAAAAUUGGUUUUUGCACGCAGAUUCAGUCACAAAAACAAUUUAUUCAUAACUGCAGCAACUACAGUGAUACACGAUAUGAACAAAAUAUUAUACGACAAAAGCAAAAGUCUCUCGAAGAUUCGAAUGAUAGUGUAAAUAGUUCACCCGCACAAUUGCAAAUGUCAUUGCAACAACCACAAGAUGAAAACGCUGUCAGUCAUACUUUUGAUCAACAUAGCAUCGAUAAUCCAGCAAAAGGAAAGCUUGAUACAGUUGAUAAAAGUUGGCGUUCCUCUAAAUCGCUUACGGCAUUACCAUUGGGAAGAAUGAUUACUACAACUGCUGGUUUACCAUCUCCGUCCCCAGCGACACCAAUUGCCAUAUUAAAAAGUCAAAUCGCCGUGAGUACACCUACGGAUACGAUAUGUAAUAAUCCAACUACGCCAGUUGCAACCGUGCCGUUAGUGAAUCGAGAUUUCAACAUAGCUUUUACUUUCACAUCUAUUAAUACAUCAACGCCAGAAAAUGUCACAUCUAAUGAAAUGUUGCCGAAAAUGUCUGCAAUCGAUGGUCAAAUUGAAGAAAUAUCAGAGGCUGGCGAAAAAAUGUUGCAUGAGCAGAUAAUUAUGUCGGGACAGCAAAAGUGUGCUUUGCAAGAGAAACCCAAAUCAUUGGUGGUAUCGCCACAACAAGUAAUGGUAUUAUAUAUGCAUAAAUUGACGCCAUAUGAACGUGCUGAGAUAUUAGCGUAUCCACAUAUAUAUUUUAUAGGCGCUAACGCUAAGAAACGCUCUGGCAUUUUCGGCCCAAAUAAUUCGGACUAUGAUAAUGAACAGGGCGCAUAUAUCCACAUACCACACGACCACGUAGCCUAUCGUUAUGAAAUGCUUAAAGUGAUAGGUAAAGGCAGCUUUGGCCAGGUAAUUAAAGCCUAUGACCACAAAACGCAUGAACAUGUCGCGCUGAAAAUGGUGCGCAAUGAAAAACGCUUUCAUCGACAAGCUCAGGAAGAAAUACGAAUUCUACAUCAUUUGCGCAGACAAGACAAGUACAAUACAAUGAAUAUUAUUCAUAUGUUUGAUUAUUUCUCAUUUCGGAACCACAUGUGUAUUACUUUCGAACUGCUCAACAUCAAUUUAUAUGAGUUGAUAAAGAAAAAUGGCUUUAAAGGUUUUAGUCUACAACUUGUGCGAAAAUUUGCACAUUCGUUGCUACAAUGUUUAGACGCAUUAUACAGGAAUGAGAUAAUACACUGCGAUAUGAAACCCGAAAACGUAUUACUCAAACAACAAGGACGUUCAGGCAUAAAGGUCAUCGAUUUUGGCUCAUCAUGCUAUGAAAGUCAACGUGUUUACACGUACAUACAAUCGCGUUUCUAUCGUGCGCCUGAAGUUAUACUCGGUUCUAAAUACGGGCGUGCAAUUGACAUGUGGUCAUUGGGUUGCAUUUUGGCUGAGUUGCUUUCCGGGCAUGCGCUUUUUCCUGGCGAGAAUGAAAGUGACCAAUUAGCAUGUAUAAUUGAAGUGCUCGGUAUGCCGAACAAAAACUUAUUAGUUUGCGCCAAACGGGCAAAGGCGUUCUUCAAUCCAAAAGGAUAUCCAAGGUACUGUACGAUGCGCACAAUGACUGAUGGUACGGUUGUCUUAACCGGAGGGCAAUCGCGUAGAGGGAAGAUGCGUGGACCGCCAAGUUCGAAAAGCCUGUCCAAAGUUUUAGAUGGUUGUAAAGAUCCUUUGUUUUUGAAUUUCAUACGAGGUUGUUUGGAAUGGGAUCCACAAAAACGUUUAACACCGGCAGAAGCGCUAAAGCAUCCUUGGUUGCGCCGACGUCUUCCAAGGCCACCCAAUUAUGUGAAUUAUCCAGGCGAUGGCGAUAACAUAAGUAGCAACAAUAGCAACAAUGGCGACCACACUCCUUCAAACGAGAUUUUAUGCACAGCGAAGCAAUAGUAUUUACAAAGCGCUUUAUUUGAAUCUGUUGUAGAGAUUGUAACAAAUUUGAGGUUAUAUUUUGAACUUGGCGUAGCGCUGGAAAAUUAGCAAAGAUUAUCGAGUUAAGCUAGUAAAUGGAGACAAUCUCGUUAGAUGUCAACAUAGUAUAAGGUAGAUUAUGCCCGUAUUUUUACUUUUUUCCGAUUUUGAAUUUGUAGAUACAGGAUCAGAUUCACCAUAGAAUUCGGGCAUUGCAAUCUCUCGAAGAUGCAGAACAUAAGUUUUUACAAAUAUAAAAUUGACCAACAUGGAGGAACAAUUUGAUCGACGUCAAGAGAUCAAUGAAGCAAUGAGAAGAGCAAUACUUCAAGAUCUGCAACUACUACUGCAUGAACAUCAGCAUUGGUUAGGUUUUUUAAGAGUGCUUUGGAACGCAUGCCGAUUGGUGACUACAAAGUCGUGAUCAGAGCAACAAAUAUCUGAAAUCCAUCGUUCAUAUGACACAUUGCAAUACCCGCUGAUGUUUUGCCAAGGAGAAGAUGUUGUUUUAAUAUUAACCCAUUACCGCCUGCUGUACACGCUUGUGUACAGCUCUUGUUGGCACGAUUUCGUAAAGCCACGUAAAAUAAUUUUUAAAUUAAUUUUUUUAAGCUUUAUAGGCCAAGCAAUUACAAAUGUGUAACAUUUUCCGAAUUAUAUGGAAAUAAAUGCCUUUUUUAUGUUUGAAAUGUGGCUUGUGCGUUUCACGUCAUUUUCAGAUAUAUUCAAUCUUAUUGUAAACUUCAUGUGAAACGAUAUUCUGAAUGAAAGAACUUACACAUUUUGGUUUUUUGUAUGAUGAUUUUUUAUUUCCACACGAAAGAAAAUUUCGUAUCAUGAAUUUCGUGUGAAUGAAAACUUGUAUUCAAAUUUCGGCAUUGUGACACACAUGUUUUUGUUUUGAUAUUUUUAUUAUUCGUAUUGGAACUAUAAAUGAAGAUUCCUUUUAUAAAGCCUGUUUUAGCAUAAAAGCAUAAAUUAUCCACAUAAAAAUGUUCAGGGCUGGCCCGACUUGCAUUCUCCACCACUGAAAAAUAUGUAAUAGUAUAUUUGAAAGAAUACUUUAAUAAAAUAACUAGAACGGACGCACAUUGGAUAACAGUUUAACAAUCUUGUUCUAUUCUGCAAUCGAUUUCAAUGGUGGCCCAAUGAUAUCCAUGGAAUCAUAUUACUGUUCCACAAUGCAUCCACUUUUUCCAUAUUUUCUAUGUAAAAGCUGUUUACUAUAUCAGGAUUUUCCACAAAAAACUUCAACUGUGUUUUGUUAAUAUACCUUAGGUUAGGUUUAAUGGCUGUUCCCCACAUGAGGAGGAAUAUGUACACAAGGAUAGUUCUUUGGGAAAUCAGAAAAAAUCCUAAUAGCGCAGUGAACCUACUACAAAUCGGCAUAAGUUUUUUUCCUCUAAAUUCACUAAUUUGCAAGGAUGUUCAAAAAAAGAGAGAGCACAGAAAUUUUAGUAUUGGUGUUGAGAUGAUUUCAUCUCGACUUCCUCUAGAAAACUUCUGCAGCUAGCACCCGAUAAAAUGUUUUAUGACGAAGAGCUCCCUAGACUUCUUACGAUUUUCCAUGGGUCAGAAGGAUCUUACGGCUGACCAGCGCUAGCCCAGCUCAGCUGAAGCCCAACUGUCCAGAAGAUCACAAGGGCAUAGGUAGUGCUCCCGCUUGUUCCUUUCUACUGUAAUUAAGGCUGGCGUGCCUAGCGUUGGAAGCUCAUUAGCCUUACUUUAUUAGCCAGGAUUCCUCCGUGACCAGGCUCCCAAACUAGUCUAAUCGUGUAGAUAUAACUGGUAUCGACAGAAAGUGAGCGUAGACAGAGUGAAUCGUUACUUCACCGAAGGACGGUACGCUUCGAAGCAGUAGAUCCGCUGCUACUUUUUUAGCAGCCACACACUAAACACUAAAAUAGUCGUAAAGUGUUUUGAAGCCUCCUCCACAAAAGGAUCCCGCCGAAUAUUAAUUUAACUUUGGGUUCAUAUAGCCAAAGUGCUACUUAAUAUACGUAGGCCUUAGUUCAUAUUAUUUUUUUUUUUAAUUAAUCAAAUUUUUAAUAUUAAUACUUGUUCCCAACAAUUUAAUUAGUGAACAAAUUUUGCUGUUUCACAUGAACAAAAUUACAUUUACAAUAAGGGAAAAUUUUCGAAGAUGUGAGAUUUUCCCCAUGUGAAAUUCGUGAUAUGAGAAACCCAAAUGAGUUAGUUUUUCAUCGGAAAUAUCGUUUGUAUGAAGUUUACCAUAAGGCUGAAUAUGAAUUAAAAUUAGUAUUUUGUAUGUUCCUUAUGUGGCGGAGGGAGCUUCAACAGUCUUCAAAACUAUUUUAGCGUUUUUAAAGUGCUAAAAAAGUAGCAGCUGAUCUACUGCUGCGAAGCGUAGCGUCCUUCAGAUUAAUGACAAUUCGGGAAAUUGUAGGAAUACACAUGUCAGUCUUAUCGACAGGAGAAUAGAAACAAGUAGGAGCACUACCUAUCCUAUUGUGAUUUUCUUCUGGACAGUUGGGCUUUAGCUGAACUGCACAAGCGCUAGUCAGUAGCAAAUUCUUCUGACCCAAGGAUAAUCUCGACAUCUUACGAAUUCUCGACAUCUUGGGAGCUCUUUGCCCUCAGUAAUAUUUUUUUUCUUAGUUGAAGGAGUUAUUAUGCCAUUAAAAAUUGGAACUGGGUUGCCGGUUUGGGUGGGUGGGAAGAAGAUGAGGCUUUAUAAACGGAGUCUUCAUUUUUAGCCCCAAUACGAAUAAUCAAAAAACAAAAACAAAAAUAAUUGUGACAGAAUAUCGAAUAUAAGUUUUCAUUCAUACGAAAUUCAUGAUACGAAGGUACUAGAAGCAACAUAGGGUACUUUAUAUUAAAAAAAAUUUACGAAAGGUAAAACAAUUGUUUCUCAAAAAAUCGUCAAAUGCAAAGUGUAUUCAACAAAGUGAACCAGGUAUAUGACAUAUCACAAUUUUUUACCCGAAUGUGACAUGUUUGUUGCCAUUGAUUUAACCCAUACAUUUAUUCAAAAAUUCAAAUUUCGAAAUUCAAAAGUAAACAAAUUUCAAACCAAAAAAAAAUAUUUUUUAAAUGAAUAAAAGAAAAUGCCGAAUACUUUCUGCUUAGGCAAAACAACUCAUGGAAGCAAUUUACUAAGGUUUUGUGCUCCAACUGACAAAUUGAAAACAAUUUUAUCAAUAUUAUGUUAAUAUAUAUUAUAUUGUUAAAGUUAAAAAAGGCGGGUUAAUGUAAACAAAUACAUGUAUUGUUUACUAUUUUAUUGUCAAAAGCGGGUAUGUCAAAUACUUAGUUCACUUUGUUGAAUACACUUUGGUCAAAUGUAGCUACUUCAGUAAUGAAGUUUUACAGUCAUGAAGUUUCAACCCUGAAUACUGUAAUACCGUCCCAUUGUAUGGCGGUAACGAAAAUAUCUAAUUUAAUUGAAUAUAGUUUCAACUGUUUAUAAUAUUUCUAUAUUUAUUGUGACUUUCUUCUGUCGUUACAUGCAGUAUAAAACUAUUCCAAUUUUUGAGGUUAUCCGUAAUUUUUGUGGUUAGCUGUUACUUUAUUAUUUUAGAUCUUACUCGCUGAUGUUAAUUUUUACUCUGCUUUUUUUUUAAAUGCCUCGAAAGCGGAAAUCUGGUCUAUCCAAAAAUUCAUUCAAAUCAAGAAACUUCGGCUCACGCAGAGCUGAGAAGACAACAACAAGCAGAGCGACAAAGAGUUUUGAGAGCAGCUGAAACGCCUCUUCAGGCACGAAUUCGUUUAGAAAGACAAGCUGCACUGCAGACAACUAGAAGAGCGAUAGAAACACCAGAACAAUCGGUAGUGAUGGACUCUUCUUUCUCGAUGCACCAGGAGUAACUGGAAAAACGUUUUUACUUAACUUAUUAUUAAUGUCCGUCAGAAAAGACCAAAAAGAAGCAGUUGCCGCAGCUUCGUCGGGUAUUGCCGUGAUGCUAUUAAACGGCGGUCGUUCGGCACAUUCCGUUUUAAAAUUACCAUUGAAUUUGGCAUAGGAAGAUUCGCCCAUUUGUAAUUUUAGUAAAAAUAGUUCACGAGGUAGAGUGCUGCGAGAAUGCAAGCUUUUAGCAACAACAAUUGUAUAGUGAUCAGUGGUUGUGUGCAAGAGCAAUAUUAGCACCAAGAAAUGAAAUCGUUAGUAGGAUCAACACUGACAUUAUAAAGGAGGUUCAGGGAGAAAUGAAGGAAUAUUUGUCAAUGGAUACAAUUAUGGAUACGGAACUAAGUAGUUCAUAUCCUGUGGAGUUUUUAAAUUCACUUGAACUAUCGGGUGUACCGUCACAUAAACUUAAAUUGAAACUAAGCAUAUAUUAAAGUGUUGAAACUUCUGUCUGUAGUAAUUUUUAAAAAUUGUUGAUCUCAGCCAAACAAUCAAAUUUAGUUAUCAUAUUGACUCAUUUCUAUUAUUAUACCCUUACCCUUUAUCUCUCUUACUUAUUUAAUACCUCCACUGCGGGCGAAGCCGCGGGUAAAAAGCUAGUAAAAUAUUAAAAAUAAAAAUUCAUGGGAAUGCUUUAUUCACAUGAAGUUUAUAUUAAGGCUGAUUAGGAUUUGAGCACAAAAAUCGCGGUCAUAAUCCAGAGCGUAUUUCGUACCUUCUACGCUGCCUUAUUUGUCAAAACCGAAGACGUUGGCGUCGUCAACAAUGUUUGAAAUCGUUUUGCCAUGAACGACGUUGUUUUGCAGAAUUUCACCACUAAUUAGCCCAUUUUACACACUUGUGUACACCCCUAUAACUCAUUGUGAUAAAUAGGAACGCCUGAAUUUCUUGUUUCAUUUCGUUAAAAUCUUACAACGAAAUCAAAAUUUGGUACGGAUACAGAAGGCUCGUUGUCGUUCAUAAAUGUUUCUGAUAACAUCAAUGCCACAAGACAAAAUUAGAAAUGAAGUUCAUAAACCUCACGCUGUCAGAUAAAACGAUAUAACUCCUCAUCGCUGGUGCUAAUACUUUCGAUUUGCAAAGAAAGUAAAUGAAGACUGACUACAGAAAUGAUCCUGUGAAGUGUAGUCUUAACUUUUCAACGGCCAACGCAGAGUUUUUCAACCAAAAGUCGCACAAAAUAGUUGAGAAUUCGCAGAAAUUAAACAUAAACGAAAGAAAAACAAAUAUUGCAUACAAACAUACAUAUGCGUACACAUGUGAAUAUGUCACCAACCAAAAAUUUAACCAUUAUUCUACAAAAACAAGAAUUGCUCAAAAAGCAUAAGCAUGGCAAGUGCUUUAAGUUCUCUGCUUUACUCUCAUUCACUCUCUCUCUCUCUCGCGUUAAUUGUUCAACGCUAUUCCCUCUCCACUGAAGCGUUAAACAAUUAUCGCAACCUUUUCCGAAGUCGUAUAAGAAGUAUAACCUCUAAAAUUAACUUAAUAACAUCCAAAAUCAGCUCAUUUAUUGCCCAUAAUGCGGAAAGAAAGUUCGCCGCUGGGUCAGCUAGUAUAAAAUAUAUAAAACAUUAAAGUUGAAAAUUUUAAAAUAUUUAAAAAUAGGAAACAUAAAAUCUAACCCUGUGUCAGCUGACUAUCUGUUAAGUCACCAGUAGAUUCCAACAUAAGAUUUCCUAUAAGAGACUUGAUUGAGCAAUUGAGCUCAAAAUGGCAUGAUAAAUAAAAAUUGUUUUGCAAAUUAUGUAUCUAGAAAAUUUCCAUUUCCUUCUCCAAAUCAGAACUCAACAAAAAGUCAACGAAAAUCAGAUCUGUGAUCAAUCCAACCAUUUGGCCUAAUGUCGUGUUGCAAUCGGGUAAUCAAAACGGCUUCAACAGAAGAGAGCUACCAAUCUUCUAAAGAACAGCAAACUACCAAAGAAGCCAUCAUACAUCCUUUAUACGCUAGACAGACGACAGAGUUAACUCGGAUUAACUGCGCUUUUAAUUAGUUCCAAUUUUGUGGGUGACAGACGGCAGCAAAGCGAGUUAUAAACUCCCAUAACAGCUGAUUGGCAAUAAUAUUUCCAUUUUGGUGAAAUAAAAUUGGAUAGAAAGGGAAUAUUGCGGUUGUUAGCCGCACAACUAGUACAAAAUCACUAAUUAUUAAAAAAAUAUACAAAAAUACGUUAUUAUUAAAACUUCCAUUUUAGAAAAAAUUAGCAAGCGUAUGUUUUUGUUUACAUUUAAUUGCAUAUUUUCAUUCACAAUAGAUAAAAAGCGGCCAUGUUUAACAAUGUUGCCAACGAAAAUACCACGAACUUCCACUAACUGUCUAAAAUUUUGAGGAUUAAAUGGGAGUUAGCAAACGGAGUUAACUGAGAUAACUCUCGAAUUAACCUCGAUUAAAGCAGUUAACCCGAAUUAACGAUGCCGUCUGUCAGGGGUAUUAGCGUGUUCAAAUUUAAAUCAUAUUUAUGUAGCUACACAGAUUGCCUUUUGAAACAUUCACCACAAUAUACUUACUGAUUUAUACCUUAAUGAAACUUUGUACAUAUAUUACAUAUAUUCCUUGUCACCAUUACAGAUUUGGUUUUGCAGAAGAGCGAAAUGGGAGGAAGGAGUUAUAGCACUUUAGAGAUUUUGAAUUAUCACUAUUUUGUGGGCGUGGCAGUGGUUCGAUAGUUAUAUAUAUAUAUUCGUCGUAGAAACCGCUUUAAGCGAUUAUAGCCGAAUCCACCAGAGCGCGCCACUCGCGCCACUUCACUGGAAGCACCAAGUGAAACCAGUUGCCAAUGUUCAUAGGACCAGUAAUCUUACGCAAAACCUUUCUCUCGAAAACCCCAAGAGUCGUCUCAUCGGAUGUUGUCAUCGUCCACGCUUCGGCGCCAUAACUCAGGACGGGAGUAAUGAGCGACUUGUAGAGUUUGAUUUUUAUUCGUCGAGAGAGGACUUUACUUUGCAAUUGCCUACUCAGUCCAAAGUAACACCUGUUGGCAAGACUGAUUCUGCGUUGGAAUUCGAGGCUGACAUUGUUGGUGUUGUUAACGCUGGUUCCCAAGUAGUCGAAAAUAUCUACUACUUCAAAGGUAUGACUGUCAACAGUGACGUGGGAGCCAAGACGCGAGUGCACUGACUGUUUGCCUUUGUAUACGUUUGUAUACGUUUUUUAUUUCGAUCCAAAAGUUUGCAUUACAAAAUUUAUUGCUCGAAGUGGUAAACUUUACUUAUUGAAAAAGGAUUAAAUAUCACAAUUAUCUUGGUCUGGUUUUCUUUUAGAGCAGUGCGUUAGUUCAUAUUUAGUGAAUUUAUACCAAGUUUGAUUUUUAAUUUUUAUUUUUUUUUUCGCUUUACGGCCAAUGCAAGGUUUAUAUAAAAACGAAUAUUUUUUGCAAUAAUGAAAUUAAAUACGUUUAAAAUAUAUAGAAAAAGAAAGUUGCUUUCUUAUUUAAGCAGUACCUUGUGAAAAAUUAAUGUUUUAAUUGAAAGUAUUGUCUUGCCCGUUAAAGGGCUAAAGGGGUCAUCCCAUGUGAGGGCCUAUUUAACAUAUAUUUAGACAGUAAAUAUACAUACAGUUGAUCUCCUUUUUACACGGUUUUUUUUUUUGCACAUUUAAUAAAUUCUAAAUUAGGUUUAAACUAAAAAAUAUAAAUCUUAGAUUCGAAAGCCAGUGAAAAGGUUGCAAAAAUUUCAAUACGUAAACAAAUAAAUGAAGCUGUAUGAAAAAGUAAGAAAAAAGAAGACACAGCGAUUAAUGACGGAACUUAGAAAAGUAUUAUUUUUUUACCAUUCCCAGAAUAGUUGUUGUUUGUUCCUUCUAACAGUAAUAUGUACAUACAUAUAAUACCAGAAAAGUCUAUAACAACAACAACAGUGAAAAUUCUCACUGAACGAAUAGAUAGAAUUUCAUAUAAAAUUAGAUAUUUUUUACACGUUUUCUAUUUUUUGCACGGUUUUUUUUUUACACGAGUAAUUUACUGUCCCAGUUAACCGUGCAAAAAGGAGAUCAACUGUAUAUGGGUGUUCUAUUCUGUAAACUUAAUUUUGAGUUUUUUAGUUUUUUCAUAUAACACCGUACGUCACUCGGCUGGGUAUUUACUCAAACUUAAUUUUUAUGGGAGAUUGAGUCAUAAGUAAAAAAGGUUAGCUUCUCAAAAAUUAUGUUUUGAAAUUUAAAAUUUUUAAUUAUUUCAAAGAUCCAACCUCGACUGCUUAUAUGCCAAUUGAAUAAGAAAGUAAUAUUAUGUUUACAUAUGAAAAUAAUCUCGUUCUAAGCUCGUUCAAUAACCUAACCGUUUACAUAUAGCCAAAUGAGAUUAUCAAUUGUCAAACGUGUUGCAUUUGUUGUUGUAUACCACAUGCAUAUUUCUCUCGCUGUUGGCCAUUUUUGUUUACAUUUUCAUUUGACAUUUCUCCUCUUAUUCGCAAAAUUAUCGAUAAACCUAGGAAUAACACCGAAAAUCUAGUUGUAUAAAACAAGAUAAUUUUAUAAUCUCGGAUUAUCCAAAGAGCAAUUUUGUAUGGGAAAUCUCGUUUCUUAAUUACAGAUUAUCGAGUUAAGCUAGUAAAUGGAGACAAUCUCGUUAGAUGUCAACAUAGUAUAAGGUAGAUUAUGCGCGUAUUUUUACUUUUUUCCGAUUUUGAAUUUGUAGAUAGAGGAUCAGAUUCACCAUAGAAUUCGGGUAUUGCAAUCUCUCGAAGAUGCAGAACAUAAGUUUUUACAAAUAUAAAAUUGACCAACAUGGAGGAACAAUUUGAUCGACGUCAAGAGAUCAAUGAAGCAAUGAGAAGAGCAAUACUUCAAGAUCUGCAACUACUACUGCAUGAACAUCAGCAUUGGUUAGGUUUUUUAAGAGUGCUUUGGAACGCAUGCCAAUUGGUGACUACAAAGUCGUGAUCAGAGCAACAAAUAUCUGAAAUCCAUCGUUCAUAUGACACAUUGCAAUACCCGCUGAUGUUUUGCCAAGGAGAAGAUGUUGUUUUAAUAUUAACCCAUUACCGCCUGCUGUACACGCUUGUGUACAGCUCUUGUUGGCACGAUUUCGUAAAGCCACGUAAAAUAAUUUUUAAAUUAAUUUUUUUAAGCUUUAUAGGCCAAGCAAUUACAAAUGUGUAACAUUUUCCGAAUUAUAUGGAAAUAAAUGCCUUUUUUAUGUUUGAAAUGUGGCUUGUGCGUUUCACGUCAUUUUCAGAUAUAUUCAAUCUUAUUGUAAACUUCAUGUGAAACGAUAUUCUGAAUGAAAGAACUUACACAUUUUGGUUUUUUGUAUGAUGAUUUUUUAUUUCCACACGAAAGAAAAUUUCGUAUCAUGAAUUUCGUGUGAAUGAAAACUUAUAUUCAAAUUUCGGCAUUGUGACACACAUGUUUUUGUUUUGAUAUUUUUAUUAUUCGUAUUGGAACUAUAAAUGAAGAUUCCUUUUAUAAAGCCUGUUUUAGCAUAAAAGCAUAAAUUAUCCACAUAAAAAUGUUCAGGGCUGGCCCGACUUGCAUUCUCCACCACUGAAAAAUAUGUAAUAGUAUAUUUGAAAGAAUACUUUAAUAAAAUAAUUAGAACGGACGCACAUUGGAUAACAGUUUAACAAUCUUGUUCUAUUCUGCAAUCGAUUUCAAUGGUGGCCCAAUGAUAUCCAUGGAAUCAUAUUACUGUUCCACAAUGCAUCCACUUUUUCCAUAUUUUCUAUGUAAAAGCUGUUUACUAUAUCAGGAUUUUCCACAAAAAACUUCAACUGUGUUUUGUUAAUAUACCUUAGGUUAGGUUUAAUGGCUGUUCCCCACAUGAGGAGGAAUAUGUACACAAGGAUAGUUCUUUGGGAAAUCAGAAAAAAUCCUAAUAGCGCAGUGAACCUACUACAAAUCGGCAUAUGUUUUUUUCCUCUAAAUUCACUAAUUUGCAAGGAUGUUCAAAAAAAGAGAGAGCACAGAAAUUUGAGUAUUGAUGUUGAGAUGAUUUCAUCUCGACUUCCUCUAGAAAACUUCUGCAGCUAGCACCCGAUAAAAUGUUUUAUGACGAAGAGCUCCCUAGACUUCUUACGAUUUUCCAUGGGUCAGAAGGAUCUUACGGCUGACCAGCGCUAGCCCAGCUCAGCUGAAGCCCAACUGUCCAGAAGAUCACAAGGGCAUAGGUAGUGCUCCCGCUUGUUCCUUUCUACUGUAAUUAAGGCUGGCGUGCCUAGCGUUGGAAGCUCAUUAGCCUUACUUUAUUAGCCAGGAUUCCUCCGUGACCAGGCUCCCAAACUAGUCUAAUCGUGUAGAUAUAACUGGUAUCGACAGAAAGUGAGCGUAGACAGAGUGAAUCGUUACUUCACCGAAGGACGGUACGCUUCGAAGCAGUAGAUCCGCUGCUACUUUUUUUUUUUACAGUCAUGAAGUUUCAACCCUGAAUACUGUAAUACCGUCCCAUUGUAUGGCGGUAACGAAAAUAUCUAAUUUAAUUGAAUAUAGUUUCAACUGUUUAUAAUAUUUCUAUAUUUAUUGUGACUUUCUUCUGUCGUUACAUGCAGUAUAAAACUAUUCCAAUUUUUGAGGUUAUCCGUAAUUUUUGUGGUUAGCUGUUACUUUAUUAUUUUAGAUCUUACUCGCUGAUGUUAAUUUUUACUCUGCUUUUUUUUUAAAUGCCUCGAAAGCGGAAAUCUGGUCUAUCCAAAAAUUCAUUCAAAUCAAGAAACUUCGGCUCACGCAGAGCUGAGAAGACAACAACAAGCAGAGCGACAAAGAGUUUUGAGAGCAGCUGAAACGCCUCUUCAGGCACGAAUUCGUUUAGAAAGACAAGCUGCACUGCAGACAACUAGAAGAGCGAUAGAAACACCAGAACAAUCGGUAGUGGUGGACUCUUCUUUCUCGAUGCACCAGGAGUAACUGGAAAACGUUUUUACUUAACUUAUUAUUAAUGUCCGUCAGAAAAGACCAAAAAGAAGCAGUUGCCGUAGCUUCGUCGGGUAUUGCCGUGAUGCUAUUAAACGGCGGUCGUUCGGCACAUUCCGUUUUAAAAUUACCAUUGAAUUUGGCAUAGGAAGAUUCGCCCAUUUGUAAUUUUAGUAAAAAUAGUUCACGAGGUAGAGUGCUGCGAGAAUGCAAGCUUUUAGCAACAACAAUUGUAUAGUGAUCAGUGGUUGUGUGCAAGAGCAAUAUUAGCACCAAGAAAUGAAAUCGUUAAUAGGAUCAACACUGACAUUUUAAAGGAGGUUCAGGGAGAAAUGAAGGAAUAUUUGUCAAUGGAUACAAUUAUGGAUACGGAACUAAGUAGUUCAUAUCCUGUGGAGUUUUUAAAUUCACUUGAACUAUCGGGUGUACCGUCACAUAAACUUAAAUUGAAACUAAGCAUAUAUUAAAGUGUUGAAACUUCUGUCUGUAGUAAUUUUUAAAAAUUGUUGAUCUCAGCCAAACAAUCAAAUUUAGUUAUCAUAUUGACUCAUUUCUAUUAUUAUACCCUUACCCUUUAUCUCUCUUACUUAUUUAAUACCUCCACUGCGGGCGAAGCCGCGGGUAAAAAGCUAGUAAAAUAAUAAAAAUAAAAAUUCAUGGGAAUGCUUUAUUCACAUGAAGUUUAUAUUAAGGCUGAUUAGGAUUUGAGCACAAAAAUCGCGGUCAUAAUCCAGAGCGUAUUUCGUACCUUCUACGCUGCCUUAUUUGUCAAAACCGAAGACGUUGGCGUCGUCAACAAUGUUUGAAAUCGUUUUGCCAUGAACGACGUUGUUUUGCAGAAUUUCACCACUAAUUAGCCCAUUUUACACACUUGUGUACACCCCUAUAACUCAUUGUGAUAAAUAGGAACGCCUGAAUUUCUUGUUUCAUUUCGUUAAAAUCUUACAACGAAAUCAAAAUUUGGUACGGAUACAGAAGGCUCGUUGUCGUUCAUAAAUGUUUCUGAUAACAUCAAUGCCACAAGACAAAAUUAGAAAUGAAGUUCAUAAACCUCACGCUGUCAGAUAAAACGAUAUAACUCCUCAUCGCUGGUGCUAAUACUUUCGAUUUGCAAAGAAAGUAAAUGAAGACUGACUACAGAAAUGAUCCUGUGAAGUGUAGUCUUAACUUUUCAACGGCCAACGCAGAGUUUUUCAACCAAAAGUCGCACAAAAUAGUUGAGAAUUCGCAGAAAUUAAACAUAAACGAAAGAAAAACAAAUAUUGCAUACAAACAUACAUAUGCGUACACAUGUGAAUAUGUCACCAAACAAAAAUUUAACCAUUAUUCUACAAAAACAAGAAUUGCUCAAAAAGCAUAAGCAUGGCAAGUGCUUUAAGUUCUCUGCUUUACUCUCAUUCACUCUCUCUCUCUCUCGCGUUAAUUGUUCAACGCUAUUCCCUCUCCACUGAAGCGUUAAACAAUUAUCGCAACCUUUUCCGAAGUCGUAUAAGAAGUAUAACCUCUAAAAUUAACUUAAUAACAUCCAAAAUCAGCUCAUUUAUUGCCCAUAAUGCGGAAAGAAAGUUCGCCGCUGGGUCAGCUAGUAUAAAAUAUAUAAAACAUUAAAGUUGAAAAUUUUAAAAUAUUUAAAAAUAGGAAACAUAAAAUCUAACCCUGUGUCAGCUGACUAUCUGUUAAGUCACCAGUAGAUUCCAACAUAAGAUUUCCUAUAAGAGACUUGAUUGAGCAAUUGAGCUCAAAAUGGCAUGAUAAAUAAAAAUUGUUUUGCAAAUUAUGUAUCUAGAAAAUUUCCAUUUCCUUCUCCAAAUCAGAACUCAACAAAAAGUCAACGAAAAUCAGAUCUGUGAUCAAUCCAACCAUUUGGCCUAAUGUCGUGUUGCAAUCGGGUAAUCAAAACGGCUUCAACAGAAGAGAGCUACCAAUCUUCUAAAGAACAGCAAACUACCAAAGAAGCCAUCAUACAUCCUUUAUACGCUAGACAGACGACAGAGUUAACUCGGAUUAACUGCGCUUUUAAUUAGUUCCAAUUUUGUGGGUGACAGACGGCAGCAAAGCGAGUUAUAAACUCCCAUAACAGCUGAUUGGCAAUAAUAUUUCCAUUUUGGUGAAAUAAAAUUGGAUAGAAAGGGAAUAUUGCGGUUGUUAGCCGCACAACUAGUACAAAAUCACUAAUUAUUAAAAAAAUAUACAAAAAUACGUUAUUAUUAAAACUUCCAUUUUAGAAAAAAUUAGCAAGCGUAUGUUUUUGUUUACAUUUAAUUGCAUAUUUUCAUUCACAAUAGAUAAAAAGCGGCCAUGUUUAACAAUGUUGCCAACGAAAAUACCACGAACUUCCACUAACUGUCUAAAAUUUUGAGGAUUAAAUGGGAGUUAGCAAACGGAGUUAACUGAGAUAACUCUCGAAUUAACCUCGAUUAAAGCAGUUAACCCGAAUUAACGAUGCCGUCUGUCAGGGGUAUUAGCGUGUUCAAAUUUAAAUCAUAUUUAUGUAGCUACACAGAUUGCCUUUUGAAACAUUCACCACAAUAUACUUACUGAUUUAUACCUUAAUGAAACUUUGUACAUAUAUUACAUAUAUUCCUUGUCACCAUUACAGAUUUGGUUUUGCAGAAGAGCGAAAUGGGAGGAAGGAGUUAUAGCACUUUAGAGAUUUUGAAUUAUCACUAUUUUGUGGGCGUGGCAGUGGUUCGAUAGUUAUAUAUAUAUAUUCGUCGUAGAAACCGCUUUAAGCGAUUAUAGCCGAAUCCACCAGAGCGCGCCACUCGCGCCACUUCACUGGAAGCACCAAGUGAAACCAGUUGCCAAUGUUCAUAGGACCAGUAAUCUUACGCAAAACCUUUCUCUCGAAAACCCCAAGAGUCGUCUCAUCGGAUGUUGUCAUCGUCCACGCUUCGGCGCCAUAACUCAGGACGGGAGUAAUGAGCGACUUGUAGAGUUUGAUUUUUAUUCGUCGAGAGAGGACUUUACUUUGCAAUUGCCUACUCAGUCCAAAGUAACACCUGUUGGCAAGACUGAUUCUGCGUUGGAAUUCGAGGCUGACAUUGUUGGUGUUGUUAACGCUGGUUCCCAAGUAGUCGAAAAUAUCUACUACUUCAAAGAUUUGGUUUUGCAGAAGAGCGAAAUGGGAGGAAGGAGUUAUAGCACUUUAGAGAUUUUGAAUUAUCACUAUUUUGUGGGCGUGGCAGUGGUUCGAUAGUUAUAUAUAUAUAUUCGUCGUAGAAACCGCUUUAAGCGAUUAUAGCCGAAUCCACCAGAGCGCGCCACUCGCGCCACUUCACUGGAAGCACCAAGUGAAACCAGUUGCCAAUGUUCAUAGGACCAGUAAUCUUACGCAAAACCUUUCUCUCGAAAACCCCAAGAGUCGUCUCAUCGGAUGUUGUCAUCGUCCACGCUUCGGCGCCAUAACUCAGGACGGGAGUAAUGAGCGACUUGUAGAGUUUGAUUUUUAUUCGUCGAGAGAGGACUUUACUUUGCAAUUGCCUACUCAGUCCAAAGUAACACCUGUUGGCAAGACUGAUUCUGCGCUGGAAUUCGAGGCUGACAUUGUUGGUGUUGUUAACGCUGGUUCCCAAGUAGUCGAAAAUAUCUACUACUUCAAAGGUAUGACUGUCAACAGUGACGUGGGAGCCAAGACGCGAGUGCACUGACUGUUUACCUUUGUAUACGUUUGUAUACGUUUUUUAUUUCGAUCCAAAAGUUUGCAUUACAAAAUUUAUUGCUCGAAGUGGUAAACUUUACUUAUUGAAAAAUGAUGAAAUAUCACAAUUAUCUUGGUCUGGUUUUCUUUUAGAGCAGUGCGUUAGUUCAUAUUUAGUGAAUUUAUACCAAGUUUGAUUUUUAAUUUUUAUUUUUUUUUCGCUUUACGGCCAAUGCAAGGUUUAUAUAAAAACGAAUAUUUUUUGCAAUAAUGAAAUUAAAUACGUUUAAAAUAUAUAGAAAAAGAAAGUUGCUUUCUUAUUUAAGCAGUACCUUGUGAAAAAUUAAUGUUUUAAUUGAAAGUAUUGUCUUGCCCGUUAAAGGGCUAAAGGGGUCAUCCCAUGUGAGGGCCUAUUUAACAUAUAUUUAGACAGUAAAUAUACAUACAGUUGAUCUCCUUUUAACACGGUUUUUUUUUUGCACGGUUUUUUUUUUACACGGUGUUUUUGAACACUUCCCAGUUACCAUUUUUACACGGUUUUACUUUUUUUACACGGAUUUUUUAUUUUAAUUGUAUACUUUUUUGCAAUAAAAUCAAAAUUCCAUCCGUCAAUAAGUCACAAAUCCUUUGCUGUUAAUAGAAUUUAAUAAAUUCUAAAUUAGGUUUAAACUAAAAAAUAUAAAUCUUAGAUUCGAAAGCCAGUGAAAAGGUUGCAAAAAUUUCAAUACGUAAACAAAUAAAUGAAGCUGUAUGAAAAAGUAAGAAAAAAGAAGACACAGCGAUUAAUGACGGAACUUUGAAAAGUAUUAUUUUUUUACCAUUCCCAGAAUAGUUGUUGUUUGUUCCUUCUAACAGUAAUAUGUACAUACAUAUAAUACCAGAAAAGUCUAUAACAACAACAACAGUGAAAAUUCUCACUGACCGAAUAGAUAGAAUUUCAUAUAAAAUUAGAUAUUUUUUACACGUUUUCUAUUUUUUGCACGGUUUUUUUUUACACGAGUAAUUUACUGUCCCAGUUAACCGUGCAAAAAGGAGAUCAACUGUAUAUGGGUGUUCUAUUCUGUAAACUUAAUUUUGAGUUUUUUAGUUUUUUCAUAUAACACCGUACGUCACUCGGCUGGGUAUUUACUCAAACUUAAUUUUUAUGGGAGAUUGAGUCAUAAGUAAAAAAGGUUAGCUUCUCAAAAAUUAUGUUUUGAAAUUUAAAAUUUUUAAUUAUUUCAAAGAUCCAACCUCGACUGCUUAUAUGCCAAUUGAAUAAGAAAGUAAUAUUAUGUUUACAUAUGAAAAUAAUCUCGUUCUAAGCUCGUUCAAUAACCUAACCGUUUACAUAUAGCCAAAUGAGAUUAUCAAUUGUCAAACGUGUUGCAUUUGUUGUUGUAUACCACAUGCAUAUUUCUCUCGCUGUUGGCCAUUUUUGUUUACAUUUUCAUUUGACAUUUCUCCUCUUAUUCGCAAAAUUAUCGAUAAACCUAGGAAUAACACCGAAAAUCUAGUUGUAUAAAACAAGAUAAUUUUAUAAUCUCGGAUUAUCCAAAGAGCAAUUUUGUAUGGGAAAUCUCGUUUCUUAAUUACAGAUUAUCGAGUUAAGCUAGUAAAUGGAGACAAUCUCGUUAGAUGUCAACAUAGUAUAAGGUAGAUUAUGCGCGUAUUUUUACUUUUUUCCGAUUUUGAAUUUGUAGAUACAGGAUCAGAUUCACCAUAUAAUUCGGGUAUUGCAAUCUCUCGAAGAUGCAGAACAUAAGUUUUUACAAAUAUAAAAUUGACCAACAUGGAGGAACAAUUUGAUCGACGUCAAGAGAUCAAUGAAGCAAUGAGAAGAGCAAUACUUCAAGAUCUGCAACUACUACUGCAUGAACAUCAGCAUUGGUUAGGUUUUUUAAGAGUGCUUUGGAACGCAUGCCAAUUGGUGACUACAAAGUCGUGACCAGAGCAACAAAUAUCUGAAAUCCAUCGUUCAUAUGACACAUUGCAAUACCCGCUGAUGUUUUGCCAAGGAGAAGAUGUUGUUUUAAUAUUAACCCAUUACCGCCUGCUGUACACGCUUGUGUACAGCUCUUGUUGGCACGAUUUCGUAAAGCCACGUAAAAUAAUUUUUAAAUUAAUUUUUUUAAGCUUUAUAGGCCAAGCAAUUACAAAUGUGUAACAUUUUCGGAAUUAUAUGGAAAUAAAUGCCUUUUUUAUGUUUGAAAUGUGGCUUGUGCGUUUCACGUCAUUUUCAGAUAUAUUCAAUCUUAUUGUAAACUUCAUGUGAAACGAUAUUCUGAAUGAAAGAACUUACACAUUUUGGUUUUUUGUAUGAUGAUUUUUUAUUUCCACACGAAAGAAAAUUUCGUAUCAUGAAUUUCGUGUGAAUGAAAACUUAUAUUCAAAUUUCGGCAUUGUGACACACAUGUUUUUGUUUUGAUAUUUUUAUUAUUCGUAUUGGAACUAUAAAUGAAGAUUCCUUUUAUAAAGCCUGUUUUAGCAUAAAAGCAUAAAUUAUCCACAUAAAAAUGUUCAGGGCUGGCCCGACUUGCAUUCUCCACCACUGAAAAAUAUGUAAUAGUAUAUUUGAAAGAAUACUUUAAUAAAAUAACUAGAACGGACGCACAUUGGAUAACAGUUUAACAAUCUUGUUCUAUUCUGCAAUCGAUUUCAAUGGUGGCCCAAUGAUAUCCAUGGAAUCAUAUUACUGUUCCACAAUGCAUCCACUUUUUCCAUAUUUUCUAUGUAAAAGCUGUUUACUAUAUCAGGAUUUUCCACAAAAAACUUCAACUGUGUUUUGUUAAUAUACCUUAGGUUAGGUUUAAUGGCUGUUCCCCACAUGAGGAGGAAUAUGUACACAAGGAUAGUUCUUUGGGAAAUCAGAAAAAAUCCUAAUAGCGCAGUGAACCUACUACAAAUCGGCAUAUGUUUUUUUCCUCUAAAUUCACUAAUUUGCAAGGAUGUUCAAAAAAAGAGAGAGCACAGAAAUUUUAGUAUUGAUGUUGAGAUGAUUUCAUCUCGACUUCCUCUAGAAAACUUCUGCAGCUAGCACCCGAUAAAAUGUUUUAUGACGAAGAGCUCCCUAGACUUCUUACGAUUUUCCAUGGGUCAGAAGGAUCUUACGGCUGACCAGCGCUAGCCCAGCUCAGCUGAAGCCCAACUGUCCAGAAGAUCACAAGGGCAUAGGUAGUGCUCCCGCUUGUUCCUUUCUACUGUAAUUAAGGCUGGCGUGCCUAGCGUUGGAAGCUCAUUAGCCUUACUUUAUUAGCCAGGAUUCCUCCGUGACCAGGCUCCCAAACUAGUCUAAUCGUGUAGAUAUAACUGGUAUCGACAGAAAGUGAGCGUAGACAGAGUGAAUCGUUACUUCACCGAAGGACGGUACGCUUCGAAGCAGUAGAUCCGCUGCUACUUUUUUAGCAGCCACACACUAAACACUAAAAUAGUCGUAAAGUGUUUUGAAGCCUCCUCCACAAAAGGAUCCCGCCGAAUAUUAAUUUAACUUUGGGUUCAUAUAGCCAAAGUGCUACUUAAUAUACGUAGGCCUUAGUUCAUAUUAUUUUUUUUUAAUUAAUCAAAUUUUUAAUAUUAAUACUUGUUCCCAACAAUUUAUUUAGUGAACAAAUUUUGCUGUUUCACAUGAACAAAAUUACAUUUACAAUAAGGGAAAAUUUUCGAAGAUGUGAGAUUUUCCCCAUGUGAAAUUCGUGAUAUGAGAAACCCAAAUGAGUUAGUUUUUCAUCGGAAAUAUCGUUUGUAUGAAGUUUACCAUAAGGCUGAAUAUGAAUUAAAAUUAGUAUUUUGUAUGUUCCUUAUGUGGCGGAGGGAGCUUCAACAGUCUUCAAAACUAUUUUAGCGUUUUUAAAGUGCUAAAAAAGUAGCAGCUGAUCUACUGCUGCGAAGCGUAGCGUCCUUCAGAUUAAUGACAAUUCGGGAAAUUGUAGGAAUACACAUGUCAGUCUUAUCGACAGGAGAAUAGAAACAAGUAGGAGCACUACCUAUCCUAUUGUGAUUUUCUUCUGGACAGUUGGGCUUUAGCUGAACUGCACAAGCGCUAGUCAGUAGCAAGAUCUUCUGACCCAAGGAUAAUCUCGACAUCUUACGAAUUCUCGACAUCUUGGGAGCUCUUUGCCCUCAGUAAUAUUUUUUUUUCUUAGUUGAAGGAGUUAUUAUGCCAUUAAAAAUUGGAACUGGGUUGCCGGUUUGGGUGGGUGGGAAGAAGAUGAGGCUUUAUAAACGGAGUCUUCAUUUUUAGCCCCAAUACGAAUAAUCAAAAAACAAAAACAAAAGUAAUUGUGACAGAAUAUCGAAUAUAAGUUUUCAUUCAUACGAAAUUCAUGAUACGAAGGUACUAGAAGCAACAUAGGGUACUUUAUAUUAAAAAAAAUUUACGAAAGGUAAAACAAUUGUUUCUCAAAAAAUCGUCAAAUGCAAAGUGUAUUCAACAAAGUGAACCAGGUAUAUGACAUAUCACAAUUUUUUACCCGAAUGUGACAUGUUUGUUGCCAUUGAUUUAACCCAUACAUUUAUUCAAAAAUUCAAAUUUCGAAAUUCAAAAGUAAACAAAUUUCAAACCAAAAAAAAAUAUUUUUUAAAUGAAUAAAAGAAAAUGCCGAAUACUUUCUGCUUAGGCAAAACAACUCAUGGAAGCAAUUUACUAAGGUUUUGUGCUCCAACUGACAAAUUGAAAACAAUUUUAUCAAUAUAUAUUAUAUUGUUAAAGUUAAAAAAGGCGGGUUAAUGUAAACAAAUACAUGUAUUGUUUACUAUUUUAUUGUCAAAAGCGGGUAUGUCAAAUACUUAGUUCACUUUGUUGAAUACACUUUGGUCAAAUGUAGCUACUUCAGUAAUGAAGUUUUACAGUCAUGAAGUUUCAACCCUGAAUACUGUAAUACCGUCCCAUUGUAUGGCGGUAACGAAAAUAUCUAAUUUAAUUGAAUAUAGUUUCAACUGUUUAUAAUAUUUCUAUAUUUAUUGUGACUUUCUUCUGUCGUUACAUGCAGUAUAAAACUAUUCCAAUUUUUGAGGUUAUCCGUAAUUUUUGUGGUUAGCUGUUACUUUAUUAUUUUAGAUCAGAAAUCUGGUCUAUCCAAAAAUUCAUUCAAAUCAAGAAACUUCGGCUCACGCAGAGCUGAGAAGACAACAACAAGCAGAGCGACAAAGAGUUUUGAGAGCAGCUGAAACGCCUCUUCAGGCACGAAUUCGUUUAGAAAGACAAGCUGCACUGCAGACAACUAUAGAAUUUAAUAAAUUCUAAAUUAGGUUUAAACUAAAAAAUAUAAAUCUUAGAUUCGAAAGCCAGUGAAAAUGUUGCAAAAAUUUCAAUACGUAAACAAAUAAAUGAAGCUGUAUGAAAAAGUAAGAAAAAAGAAGACACAGCGAUUAAUGACGGAACUUUGAAAAGUAUUAUUUUUUACCAUUCCCAGAAUAGUUGUUGUUUGUUCCUUCUAACAGUAAUAUGUACAUACAUAUAAUACCAGAAAAGUCUAUAACAACAACAACAGUGAAAAUUCUCACUGAACGAAUAGAUAGAAUUUCAUAUAAAAUUAGAUAUUUUUUACACGUUUUCUAUUUUUUGCACGGUUUUUUUUUUACACGAGUAAUUUACUGUCCCAGUUAACCGUGCAAAAAGGAGAUCAACUGUAUAUGGGUGUUUUAUUCUGUAAACUUAAUUUUGAGUUUUUUAGUUUUUUCAUAUAACACCGUACGUCACUCGGCUGGGUAUUUACUCAAACUUAAUUUUUAUGGGAGAUUGAGUCAUAAGUAAAAAAGGUUAGCUUCUCAAAAAUUAUGUUUUGAAAUUUAAAAUUUUUAAUUAUUUCAAAGAUCCAACCUCGACUGCUUAUAUGCCAAUUGAAUAAGAAAGUAAUAUUAUGUUUACAUAUGAAAAUAAUCUCGUUCUAAGCUCGUUCAAUAACCUAACCGUUUACAUAUAGCCAAAUGAGAUUAUCAAUUGUCAAACGUGUUGCAUUUGUUGUUGUAUACCACAUGCAUAUUUCUCUCGCUGUUGGCCAUUUUUGUUUACAUUUUCAUUUGACAUUUCUCCUCUUAUUCGCAAAAUUAUCGAUAAACCUAGGAAUAACACCGAAAAUCUAGUUGUAUAAAACAAGAUAAUUUUAUAAUCUCGGAUUAUCCAAAGAGCAAUUUUGUAUGGGAAAUCUCGUUUCUUAAUUACAGAUUAUCGAGUUAAGCUAGUAAAUGGAGACAAUCUCGUUAGAUGUCAACAUAGUAUAAGGUAGAUUAUGCGCGUAUUUUUACUUUUUUCCGAUUUUGAAUUUGUAGAUACAGGAUCAGAUUCACCAUAGAAUUCGGGUAUUGCAAUCUCUCGAAGAUGCAGAACAUAAGUUUUUACAAAUAUAAAAUUGACCAACAUGGAGGAACAAUUUGAUCGACGUCAAGAGAUCAAUGAAGCAAUGAGAAGAGCAAUACUUCAAGAUCUGCAACUACUACUGCAUGAACAUCAGCAUUGGUUAGGUUUUUUAAGAGUGCUUUGGAACGCAUGCCAAUUGGUGACUACAAAGUCGUGAUCAGAGCAACAAAUAUCUGAAAUCCAUCGUUCAUAUGACACAUUGCAAUACCCGCUGAUGUUUUGCCAAGGAGAAGAUGUUGUUUUAAUAUUAACCCAUUACCGCCUGCUGUACACGCUUGUGUACAGCUCUUGUUGGCACGAUUUCGUAAAGCCACGUAAAAUAAUUUUUAAAUUAAUUUUUUUAAGCUUUAUAGGCCAAGCAAUUACAAAUGUGUAACAUUUUCCGAAUUAUAUGGAAAUAAAUGCCUUUUUUAUGUUUGAAAUGUGGCUUGUGCGUUUCACGUCAUUUUCAGAUAUAUUCAAUCUUAUUGUAAACUUCAUGUGAAACGAUAUUCUGAAUGAAAGAACUUACACAUUUUGGUUUUUUGUAUGAUGAUUUUUUAUUUCCACACGAAAGAAAAUUUCGUAUCAUGAAUUUCGUGUGAAUGAAAACUUAUAUUCAAAUUUCGGCAUUGUGACACACAUGUUUUUGUUUUGAUAUUUUUAUUAUUCGUAUUGGAACUAUAAAUGAAGAUUCCUUUUAUAAAGCCUGUUUUAGCAUAAAAGCAUAAAUUAUCCACAUAAAAAUGUUCAGGGCUGGCCCGACUUGCAUUCUCCACCACUGAAAAAUAUGUAAUAGUAUAUUUGAAAGAAUACUUUAAUAAAAUAACUAGAACGGACGCACAUUGGAUAACAGUUUAACAAUCUUGUUCUAUUCUGCAAUCGAUUUCAAUGGUGGCCCAAUGAUAUCCAUGGAAUCAUAUUACUGUUCCACAAUGCAUCCACUUUUUCCAUAUUUUCUAUGUAAAAGCUGUUUACUAUAUCAGGAUUUUCCACAAAAAACUUCAACUGUGUUUUGUUAAUAUACCUUAGGUUAGGUUUAAUGGCUGUUCCCCACAUGAGGAGGAAUAUGUACACAAGGAUAGUUCUUUGGGAAAUCAGAAAAAAUCCUAAUAGCGCAGUGAACCUACUACAAAUCGGCAUAUGUUUUUUUCCUCUAAAUUCACUAAUUUGCAAGGAUGUUCAAAAAAAGAGAGAGCACAGAAAUUUUAGUAUUGAUGUUGAGAUGAUUUCAUCUCGACUUCCUCUAGAAAACUUCUGCAGCUAGCACCCGAUAAAAUGUUUUAUGACGAAGAGCUCCCUAGACUUCUUACGAUUUUCCAUGGGUCAGAAGGAUCUUACGGCUGACCAGCGCUAGCCCAGCUCAGCUGAAGCCCAACUGUCCAGAAGAUCACAAGGGCAUAGGUAGUGCUCCCGCUUGUUCCUUUCUACUGUAAUUAAGGCUGGCGUGCCUAGCGUUGGAAGCUCAUUAGCCUUACUUUAUUAGCCAGGAUUCCUCCGUGACCAGGCUCCCAAACUAGUCUAAUCGUGUAGAUAUAACUGGUAUCGACAGAAAGUGAGCGUAGACAGAGUGAAUCGUUACUUCACCGAAGGACGGUACGCUUCGAAGCAGUAGAUCCGCUGCUACUUUUUUAGCAGCCACACACUAAACACUAAAAUAGUCGUAAAGUGUUUUGAAGCCUCCUCCACAAAAGGAUCCCGCCGAAUAUUAAUUUAACUUUGGGUUCAUAUAGCCAAAGUGCUACUUAAUAUACGUAGGCCUUAGUUCAUAUUAUUUUUUUUUUAAAUUAAUCAAAUUUUUAAUAUUAAUACUUGUUCCCAACAAUUUAUUUAGUGAACAAAUUUUGCUGUUUCACAUGAACAAAAUUACAUUUACAAUAAGGGAAAAUUUUCGAAGAUGUGAGAUUUUCCCCAUGUGAAAUUCGUGAUAUGAGAAACCCAAAUGAGUUAGUUUUUCAUCGGAAAUAUCGUUUGUAUGAAGUUUACCAUAAGGCUGAAUAUGAAUUAAAAUUAGUAUUUUGUAUGUUCCUUAUGUGGCGGAGGGAGCUUCAACAGUCUUCAAAACUAUUUUAGCGUUUUUAAAGUGCUAAAAAAGUAGCAGCUGAUCUACUGCUGCGAAGCGUAGCGUCCUUCAGAUUAAUGACAAUUCGGGAAAUUGUAGGAAUACACAUGUCAGUCUUAUCGACAGGAGAAUAGAAACAAGUAGGAGCACUACCUAUCCUAUUGUGAUUUUCUUCUGGACAGUUGGGCUUUAGCUGAACUGCACAAGCGCUAGUCAGUAGCAAGAUCUUCUGACCCAAGGAUAAUCUCGACAUCUUGGGAGCUCUUUGCCCUCAGUAAUAUUUUUUUUCUUAGUUGAAGGAGUUAUUAUGCCAUUAAAAAUUGGAACUGGGUUGCCGGUUUGGGUGGGUGGGAAGAAGAUGAGGCUUUAUAAACGGAGUCUUCAUUUUUAGCCCCAAUACGAAUAAUCAAAAAACAAAAACAAAAAUAAUUGUGACAGAAUAUCGAAUAUAAGUUUUCAUUCAUACGAAAUUCAUGAUACGAAGGUACUAGAAGCAACAUAGGGUACUUUAUAUUAAAAAAAAUUUACGAAAGGUAAAACAAUUGUUUCUCAAAAAAUCGUCAAAUGCAAAGUGUAUUCAACAAAGUGAACCAGGUAUAUGACAUAUCACAAUUUUUUACCCGAAU